GCGCGCCGUAGGCCACGGCGGCCUCGGCCAGUUGCACCAGCUCGGCCGCCAGUUCCACGCCGGUGGCGCCCGC
rnacentral:tRNA from 1 species